rnacentral:rRNA from 1 species
GAUGAACGCUGGCGGCGUGCUUAACACAUGCAAGUCGAACGAUGAAGCCCAGCUUGCUGGGUGGAUUAGUGGCGAACGGGUGAGUAACACGUGAGUAACCUGCCCUUGACUCUGGGAUAAGCCUGGGAAACUGGGCCUAAUACUUGCUAUGACUUCUCAUCGCAUGGAGGGGGGUGUAAAGAUUUAUUGGUAUUGGAUGGACUCUCGGCCUAUCAGCUUGUUGGUGAGGUAAUGGCUCACCAAGGCGACGACGGGUAGCCGGCCUGGGAGGGUGACCGGCCACACGGGGACUGAGACACGGCCCAGACUGCUACGGGAGGCAGCAGUGGGGAAUAUUGCACAGUGGGCGCAAGCCUGAUGCAGCGACGCCGCGUGAGGGAUGACGGCCUUCGGGUUGUAAACCUCUUUCAGUAGGGAAGAAGCGAGAGUGACGGUACCUGCAGAAGAAGCGCCGGCUAACUACGUG